GACGAACGCUGGCGGCGUGCUUAACACAUGCAAGUCGAACGGAUAGGCCCCCAUCUUGGUGGGGGUGCUCGAGUGGCGAACGGGUGAGUAACACGUGGGUGAUCUGCCCUGUACUUCGGGAUAAGCUUGGGAAACUGGGUCUAAUACCGGAUAGGACCAUGGUUUAGUGUCUCAUGGUGGAAAGAUUAUUGUUUUGGUGCAGGAUGAGCUCGCGGCCUAUCAGCUUGUUGGUGGGGUAAUGGCCUACCAAGGCGUCGACGGGUAGCCGGCCUGAGAGGGUGGACGGCCACAUUGGGACUGAGAUACGGCCCAGACUCCUACGGGAGGCAGCAGUGGGGAAUAUUGCACAAUGGGCGCAAGCCUGAUGCAGCGACGCCGCGUGGGGGAUGACGGCCUUCGGGUUGUAAACUCCUUUCGUUAGGGACGAAGCCGCACUUUUUUUGGGUGUGGUGACGGUACCUUUGUUAAGAAGCACCGGCUAACUACGUG
rnacentral:rRNA from 1 species